UACGUAGGCAGCGAGCGUUGUUCGGAAUUACUGGGCGUAAAGAGUGUGUAGGCGGUGCUCUAAGUUCGGUGUGAAAUCUCCUGGCUUAACUGGGAGGGUGCGCCGGAAACUGGGGUGCUCGAGCGUGGGAGAGGAAAGCGGAAUUCCUGGUGUAGCGGUGAAAUGCGUAGAUAUCAGGAGGAACACCUGUGGUGUAGACGGCUUUCUGGACCAUAGCUGACGCUGAGACACGAAAGCGUGGGUAGCAAACAGG
rnacentral:rRNA from 1 species